CGGGAGGCAGCAGUGGGGAAUCUUAGACAAUGGGCGAAAGCCUGAUCUAGCCAUGCCGCGUGAGUGAUGAAGGCCCUAGGGUCGUAAAGCUCUUUCAACUGUGAAGAUAAUGACGGUAGCAGUAGAAGAAACCCCGGCUAACUCCGUGCCAGCAGCCGCGGUAAUACGGAGGGGGUUAGCGUUGUUCGGAAUUACUGGGCGUAAAGCGUACGUAGGCGGAUUAAUAAGUUAGAGGUGAAAUCCCAGGGCUCAACCCUGGAACUGCCUUUAAAACUGUUAGUCUUGAGAUCGAGAGAGGUGAGUGGAAUUCCAAGUGUAGAGGUGAAAUUCGUAGAUAUUUGGAGGAACACCAGUGGCGAAGGCGGCUUACUGGCUCGA
rnacentral:rRNA from 1 species